rnacentral:rRNA from 1 species
UACAGGGGGUGCAAACGUUGCUCGGAAUCAUUGGGCGUAAAGCGCGUGUAGGCGGUUCCGUAAGUCCGCUCUGAAAGCCCAGGGCUCAACCCUGGGAGGCGGGUGGAUACUACGGAACUGGAGUACGGAAGAGGAGAUUGGAAUUCCUGGUGUAGCGGUGAAAUGCGCAGAUAUCAGGAGGAACACCAACAGCGAAGGCAGAUCUCUGGGACGUUACUGACGCUGAGACGCGAAAGCGUGGGGAGCAAACAGG